GAGAUGUCCAGUCUUAUCCUGCCUGACUCUUCCAGGGAUUCCUGGCUUCUCUGUUGUGUGGUCCUUUGUCUCCUGGGGACAGGUACAGGGGAUAGUGGAGUCAUUCAGAGCCCAAGACAUGUGAUCAAAAGCAGAAGAGAGAUGGUCAAUCUGAACUGCCAUCCCAAGUCUGGACAUAACACUGUAUAUUGGUAUCAGCAGGUGCUGGGUCAGAGCCUCCAGUUCCUUGUGAGUUACUUUGCAAAGGAGCAGGGAGAGAAAGGAUCCAUCCCUGAUCACUUCUCAGUUCAGCAAUUUGAUAACUAUAGCUCAGUACUGAACAUGAAGUCUUUGGAGCCAGGAGACUCAGCCCUGUAUCUGUGUGCCAGCAGUUUACACAGCCCUGCAUGUCCCCUGGCUUUCUGUACCCAAACUUCCUGUACUCAACUAGUUUCAAUCUCUUCUUCUUGGAAAGUCUACACUCUACUUACUGAACAAUCUUCAGGCCUCACAAUCAAGUUUAUUAAGAAACCUAGGAGGUAG